rnacentral:ncRNA from 2 species
GAUUUAUAAAGAAGCGCGGAGAGACAGGCUCUGAGAAGCGCUAGCAACCACUCCCUAUAAUAAGGAAAAGGUGCUAAAUCCUGACUCCGGCUUGGAUGGUCCAGGUCGGGAAAUAUAAACC